rnacentral:rRNA from 1 species
CUUGUUGGUAGGGUAGUGGCCUACCAAAGUGGUAACGGGUAACGGGGAAUCAGGGUUUGAUUCCGGAGAGGGAGCCUUAGAAACGGCUACCACGUCCAAGGAAGGCAGCAGGCGCGCAAAUUACCCACUCUAGAUACUGGGAGGUAGUGACGAGAAAUAAUGGGGGCACCCCAAAGGGGCGCCGUCUGUAACGAACGAAACACAAAAGCGUCGGUGAGGACCUACUGGAGGGCAAGUCUGGUGCCAGCAGCCGCGGUAAUUCCAGCUCCAGUAGUGUAUAUCAACAUUGUUGCGCUUAAAACGCUCGUAGUUGGGUUGCGACCGCACGCCGCCGUUGCGAGACGGCGGUUAGGCAGUUUGUACUGUGGUGCGUGAGUGAGUGCCGGUCGGGGCCGCGUUUGAAUAGGCGGCCUCCAACCCGGCAAAGUGUGCCUUGAAUAAAGCAUGAUGCUAAAAGUGAGCCUGUGGCUGGAGUGUAAUAGCAUGGAACGACGAGUGACCAAGGGUGCGCCCGCCCCGAACGACAGGGGGGUCAAUGGCCGAGAGGAAAGUUUGCGGGCACUCGUACUUUGGGGCGAGAGGUGAAAUUCUGAGACCCCCAAAAGACGGCCUACUGCGAAGGCAUUUGCCAAAGAUGUUUCCGUUGAUCAAGAACGAAGGUCAGAGGAUCGAAGACGAUCAGAUACCGUCCUAGUUUUGACAGAAAACUCUGCCGGCGUAGGUGGGCGGCGACCACUCGACAGGAGACGAGUCACCGCGGACCUUGGGGGAAACCUGAGCUUUCGGGCUGCUGGGAGAAUAUCGCUGCAAGGCUGAAAUUUAAAGAAAUUGACGGAGAGGCACCACCAGGAGUGGAGCUUGCGGCUUAAUUUGACUCAACACGGGGAGACUCACCGGGUCCAGACAUUGGGAGGAUUGACAGAGUGGUGGAUCUUUCAUGAUUCGGUGGAUGGUGGUGCAUGGCCGUUCUUAGUUGGUGGAGUGAUUUGUCAGGUUUAUUCCGGUAACGAGCGAGACCGCGGUCUCUACUUGUCGGUUUAGUUUUUCUGAGCCGGGGCUAGAGAGACAACCGGUGCCAAGCCGGGGGAGGCGCGGCAAUAACAGGUCUGUGAUGCCCUGCGAUGUCCUGGGCUGCACGCGUGCUACAAUGGCGGGCGAAGAGGGCGGCUGGCCCGGGGGGGUCGGCGAAGCGCGAAUGCCCGCCGCGAUGGGGACUGAGCCUUGCAAUUGUUGCUCACGAAAGAGGAAUUCCUCGUAGGCGCAGGUCACGAGCCUGCGUCGAAUACGUCUCUGCCUCUUGUAC